AUACGGCCAUACCAUGCUGAAUAUACCGGUUCUCGUUAGAUCACCGAAGUCAAACAUCAUCGGGCGCGGUCAGUACUUGGGUGGGUGACCACCUGGGAACACCGCGUGCUGUU
rnacentral:rRNA from 1 species